rnacentral:lncRNA from 13 species
AAGUGGAUAGUUCAGUGACAUUAAAUACAUUCAUGCUAUUGAGCAACCACCCAUCUCCAAAACCUUUCAUCUUGUAAAACAAACUCUGUACUCACUAAAUGUUAACUCUCUGUCCUUUCUUUCCCCAGGUCCUGUCAACCACCAUUCUACUUUCUGUCUCUGAUCUUGCUCCACUUGAUUCACUGAGAAAAAACAAAACACAUAUUCAAGGUCAAGGGUGAGAUGGAAAGUCAAACUCUGGUAUUUCCUAGCAGGCAGCGAGUGAGAGAAGGAAAACAGACCCACUUCAUUCAUUAACUUUUCUCCAAGAAACAAAAAGCCUUGAAACUCAAGACAUGAACCUCAGAGUCUUUAAUCCCAAGGAAAAACAAAACUCAAUUCAGGAUCAAGCUCCAAAAUCAAGAACCACCAUUUACGGUUUCUGAAAACAUAAAUCACCUCUCAAAAAGCUACUGGGAGAAAGGGAUGAAUUCCCCGCAAGUUGCUGGUGAGUAGGACACCAAAUCCAAUUUUUUAAAUCAAUUACAAAGCCUCAAAAUAUGCCAUUUUAAU